rnacentral:lncRNA from 1 species
AAGUAUUUGUUUUCAGGCAAAAGCAAGCCUCCAAAAGACCCUUGGUUCUUCUCUGUAUGUCUUGCCCUUUCUGCCUUGUACACCAGACUGCCGGCAAGCAAGCGGGGAGGUGGAGAACAGCUGGGAUCCUCCAGUGAAAAGGUUGCUCAGCGCGAGAGAUGUCAAGAGGCUGGGAUUGGCGCCCAUCGGGAGAAGAAUUCCACAAAUGAAUUGGUUCUGCCCUGUAUCUUUGAAUGGUUUUUAUUUUCUAAUGUCCAGUGUGGCAGCCUGGCAGAGACAUUUAGUUGAAAGAACACGGGGCUCUGGAAACAACUAGUCCUUGGUUCAUAGUCUCAUGUUGUCACUUAUUAACCGAGUGACAUUGGAGGUGAUAUGCUGCAGUUUAUCACUGAGGUCCUGAGAUGGUCCAUACUCUAAGCUUUGUGUCUACUGUGGGGGCAAAGGGAAAACUUCCCCCUUGCUCUCUGAAGAGUCAUUGAAAAUCAACUGACAAAAGAAUCUAAAACAUUCCUGGAAAUGGAGAGUCCUGACAUGAUGGCCCCAUGAUGAAAAGAACCCAGGUUCCUGAGCCACCACGUGGACACGAGGCACCAAGGAGAAAACACAUGAACCUUAAUAAGUUUGGGGGUACACCUUGCCAUGUGUUACCUUCCGUGAUGUUAUGAUGCAACAAGAAGGCCCUCACCAGUUGUAGUCCCUCAGUCCUGGACUUCUCAGCCUCCAGAACU